rnacentral:rRNA from 1 species
UGCGUAACGCGUAUACAAUCUGCCUUCAAGCGGGGGAUAGCCCAUGGAAACGUGGAUUAAUACCCCAUGGUAUUAUGAUUUCACCUGGAAUUAUAAUUAAACAUUUAUGGCUUGAAGAUGAGUAUGCGUCCUAUUAGCUAGAUGGAGUGGUAACGGCACCCCAUGGCGACGAUAGGUAGGGGUCCUGAGAGGGAGAUCCCCCACACUGGUACUGAGACACGGACCAGACUCCUACGGGAGGCAGCAGUGAGGAAUAUUGGACAAUGGAGGCAACUCUGAUCCAGCCAUGCCGCGUGCAGGAAGACUGCCCUAUGGGUUGUAAACUGCUUUUAUACAGGAAGAAACCUCCCCACGUGUGGGGAGCUGACGGUACUGUAUGAAUAAGGAUCGGCUAACUCCGUGCCAGCAGCCGCGGUAAUACGGAGGAUCCAAGCGUUAUCCGGAAUCAUUGGGUUUAAAGGGUCCGUAGGCGGGUUUAUAAGUCAGUGGUGAAAGUCUGUCGCUUAACGAUAGAAUUGCCAUUGAUACUGUAGAUCUUGAAUUAUUAUGAAGUGGUUGGAAUGAGUAGUGUAGCGGUGAAAUGCAUAGAUAUUACUCAGAACACCUAUUGCGAAGGCAGAUCACUAAUAAUAUAUUGACGCUGAUGGACGAAAGCGUAGGUAGCGAACAGGAUUAGAUACCCUGGUAGUCUACGCCGUAAACGAUGGUCACUAGCUGUCCGGCCUAAUUGAGGGCUGGGUGGCCAAGCGAAAGUGAUAAGUGACCCACCUGGGGAGUACGUUCGCAAGAAUGAAACUCA